GUUGUUUCUUCCAUAUCUAAUAACUUAAGAUUUGUGAGGCAAUCGAUGGUUUAUGAUAGUCUUAAUUGUUAAUUAAUCAAAUUUAUCCUAGGCAAUUCGAAGAAGAACAAGCGUGUGAGAGUCUCAUAUAUCAUCAACAUAUCUACAAUUUUUGAGGAAAUUAAGGGCACAACAAUCCUAGGUUCCAGCAGAAAUUGGUGAUGAUAAUCGACUAACCUGGUAUUGGGAUAGCCAGAAUGUCUCCGGGGUUGAUCACCGGUUGGCCGAGGCCGUUAACCGCGGCCAAGUCAGUGACAGUAGUAUGAUAUCGAGCUCCAAUGCUGCCCAAGCUCUCCCCUCUCUGUACCACAUAUGACAUGUACACAGCAGUCGCACCGUUGUUUGUGUUACCAAAACAUGUGCAUGGCAAUGGAAUCACAAGGCUCUGCCCAUACCCAGCCCCUUUUCCUCCAUUAACGCUUCUUAUCUGAUCUGCACUCACAAGCCCCCCGUACCCCUCUGAUAUUAAAUCCAUCGUGUCAGCCGCUUUGACUGUGUAAGUAGUGGACAGAGAACGGCGAAUGCCGUCCACACAAGGACACAGGAUGGGGACUUUCACGAGUGAUUUUGCAGGGAUGAUUUGGCUUGCAGAGGAUGGCCUUGUUGGGUCCAUGGAGUUGGUAGCCAAGAUAUCAGAGAUGUUGACUUGGAAGCGUGAUGCAAUCUCAGAGAGCUUGGAGUCCCAAGGAAGAAGAUAGGAGAGAAGAGAGUUGCAGGAGUCUGAAGAACUGCACGGUUCAAUUACAGACUUUGCUUGCGUUAUGGAACCAAAAGAAA